AUGAGCUACAUCGGAUUCCCAGAAAGCUUCAGGCAAGAAGAACUGGUCGUAGAAAUGGAUGCCAACAAGGGGCUUUCGCUGAUGGAGCUGAGCCCGCCCCACCCCUGGGAGGUACACCCGCGGACCCCUGAAACCCUGGCCUUCGGAGAGGUGCAGGUAAGACCCCC
rnacentral:lncRNA from 1 species